rnacentral:sRNA from 1 species
GAGAGAUUUAGGGAAGA